rnacentral:misc_RNA from 1 species
GAUGAAGAACGUAGCGAAAUGCGAUAAGUAAUGUGAAUUGCAGAAUUCAGUGAAUCAUCGAAUCUUUGAACGCACAUUGCGCCCGCCAGUAUUCUGGCGGGCAUGCCUGUUCGAGCGUCAUUACAACCCUCAGGCCCCCGGGCCUGGCGUUGGGGAUAGGCGGAGCCCCCCGUGGGCACACGCCGUCCCCCAAAUACAGUGGCGGUCCCGCCGCAGCUUCCAUCGCGUAGUAGCUAACACCUCGCGACUGGAGAGCGGCGCGGCCACGCCGUAAAACACCCAACUCUUCUGAAGUUGACCUCGAAUCAGGUAGGAAUACCCGCUGAACUUAAGCAUAUCAAUAAGCGGAGGA